CUCUGGGGCCCCUUACUUGAUAAGGCUUGAGAAGAUGUGGAUUCCAGUUAGAAAAACAUUCAUUAAUUCAACAGUCUUACCCAUUAGGUAAUGAAGCUCACCCAUAGCUCCAAAACAUUGCUGGUAAGACAGGAGUUACGGAGGAGGUGAAGAAUUAGAUGAGGGGACAUCCAGUGUCUGUGAGGUGACUCGAAUGGCCGUCUGUAAAAAGUAUAAAUGCAAAUUACUCUGUUGUUGAUCUGUGUACUGCAACAUGCAAAACAAGGUGGUCUGAAGAGGAGGAGAGUGACUAUCACAGGCUUCUCAUGUUCAAAUAAUAAUGGUUUAAAAAGAAUCAGGUUUUCCUAUCCAAAAGGAAGAGUUCAGCCUCACCAAAAACAAGAUGGCAGGUGCUGAUAGAUUUGUGGCAAACUCAAAGCCUGGCUAAUGGCUAGAGUUGGGGCCUAGACAUUAGUGAGGUGGCCACUCAGUGGGGAGGGGCCAAUGAGACGUUGAUAGACUCGACCGAGAAGCCGUUCUUGUGGCUGAACCAGAGUCACAUUCUGUGCUUACUGAUGCCAAAGAAGAAGGUGGCCUAAGGGCUUCUGAAUGAAGAGAAUACUUAUUUUUUUGUUGAUCUGCAUAGGCUAUGGGGAGUGACCUUUCAGAAGAUCCGAAUGGCCCCUCCUAGCUGAAUCUACAUAUAGGAAGGUAAAAUUAUUUAAUGGCUUUGUCCACACUAAAAGCCAGUUUCUGCCUUGCUUGGUUUUCUAGUUUCAGCUAUAAGGAAAUUUGACGAUUUCUUAUCACGAAGGGCUGUCACAGCCCUGUUGGCUCAGCAAAUGAGGGAAAGGAAGGUGGAUCUAAUCUUCAUAGGUGCUCCAGAAUUGAGUCCAAGUGAAAAAGCAAGAGAGAAAUUUCUGCAGAUCAUUGCCCAAAAUAGCACAGCAAAAAGAUCAGCAGUUGCCUGAUUGGUUGUAAAGGUGGCUGUAUAUCCUUCUUAACUCUUCGAAUAAUUAGCAAUCCCGAAAUCUCAAAACUUCAAGGUUUCAUUGAGUGGGACAGGUAAAAUGGUGACUUCAAGACUCGGAGAUUUGAUGCAAGCCUACUCAUCGUGGCUAUAGGAGGCUGUGUCUCAGUUCCUGUUUUGAUUCCUGACUGCUCAUUUUCUCUUGAAAUGCUUAUAUGUAUCCUUAUCCCAAAUGCAAAGGACAAGGAGGCAACCAUGGACUAAAUCUAGUUACUGAAAUGAAAUCAGGCCCAUCACGGUGCAAAAGGCAGAUUUCGCUUUGUCUCUUUGGCUCCCUUUCCAACUAAUUUUGUGGAUUAAGCCAAAGGAUGUAUAAGACCGCCUGCCCUUCACAAGGACUCUAAUUUAUCCUCGUUUGCAGAUUUCCCUCAAGAGGGUUAAUAUUUCAGGGCAAAUUGAAUGGCCCUGAGAAGGAUGAUCUUGAGUUCCACUCCUUGUAGAAUUUCUUCCAUCUAACCCAUGGGAAAAUGACAGGGUAGCAGAAGUGGAUGGAUUAAGGCUGUUUUAUUUCAUCUCCUUUAUUAUCUGGAUUCAUUACAGUAGAAGCUCUUUUAACUGACCUCAGUUUAAAUGAUUUGCUAGAUUAACCAGUGCUCUGUACUUUUAUAAAAGAGCGACUGACCCAAUGCCCUUGGCUUGCUGAAUGCACACAGCUGGUAGGCUUCUUCUAGCAAGCCCUCCUAGCUCCUCUUCUACUUAAGUGGUUCAUUGCCAAGAAUCAGGUGUGUUUGUUCUUGAACGUCUUUAUCCUUGUCCUUCUGACUAUAAGUGAUAUAAUCAGAAUUAUGGAAACUGUUGGAUUGUGACAGCAAAGAGAAUCACAUUUUGCAUUUGGAAGAUCAAAUAACACAUGUACAUGGCUUUAAGAGUCAGAUAAUACUUUAGAAAUAUUGUAAGACCUUAAAAACCACUUCAGCAGCUCCUGCCUUAUCUUUUCCCUAUUCCAUAGAGCCAACCGCUUUUUUUUUUCACAUUUAUUUACUUAUUUUGAGAGGGAGAGUGGGGGAAGGGCAGAAAGAGAGGAAGAGGGAGAAUCCCAAGCAGGCCAUGUGCUGUUGGCAUGGGGCCCAACAAAGGGCUAAAACCCACAAAGAGUGAGCUUAUGACCUGAGCCGAAACCAAGAGUCUGUCAGCCAACUGACUGAGCCACCCAGGUGCCCCGAGGCAACCACUUUGAUUUCUUUGGCAUAUAUCUCAAAUUUCCUAAGUAAUACAUUUAUAUUGCUGUUUGAUGAUUAAAACAAACAGUUUUUGGCUGUUAUCUAUUAACUUUGCAUGAUGGAAGAUAAGUUUAACUCUUUUACACCACUUCAAAUACUCACACUUAGCUUUCUCAUAGGAUUGUCACCAAUUUAUAUAGUGAAAUCAAUACUCAAAAUAUAUACUGUUGUAACUAUGUAAAUACUAUUUCUUACCGAAUCAUGUAGUGUUGUAUAAAAAUAUUUCCUUUCUUGUACCACUUUUUGUUUAACCCGGAGUAAAGACUUGACUUUGUUUUUUGGUUUUUGUUUUGCUUAGUUUUCUGUAUAUCUAUUUAUCAAUAGUUCAAUCCCAAAUGGAGUGAAAUUUAAAUCUCACAAUAUGGUUAAAUAAAUCAGAUAUUCUAUCAA